AAUUCUCAAACCUCACUGGCUUUAUUGACAGUGAGGCUUUGGAUGUGGGGGCUGCUGGACUCUAACGAGAUUAGCUCUCCUUAAAUGCAUUAGUGGUUACUGUUUUCCACUACCAGGUGUGAUAAUAUCUACGCCUCGGUGGAAAUGUUAAGUGUAGCUGCUUUCUAACCGUCCAUGCAAUGUGGACAACUUGAAAC
rnacentral:misc_RNA from 1 species